CCAAUAUUUAAUUCGCUACUGGCAGUUUAAUGCUGAUUGACAUCUCAUUUCACCUCUUGUUGAAAGAAGCAUUAUUUUGACGUUUUUAAAUCGACGAGAAUAUUAACGUUGGUUGCGAGAUACAAAAUAAGAAGAAGAAUAAGAACAUACAGAAGAAGAAGAGGGAAUAUUUCCACAGCUCCACGAGCUCUUUUCGCGAUUGACGAAAGCAUCAUAUUUGAAGUACAUUUUAAGGUUUAGCAUCGGGUUUAGGUUUCCUCAACAACUUUUACGAAAGUUGAGUCGCUGUAUGUAUCAAGGGAUGACACAGAGACCUCUGGCUCUGAGCAAGACAGUGAGCCAGAGCUGCCAGGUGAUGUCAUCGAGCCCCUCCCAACUGCAUCAAGCACCACAUGUGCUGUUCCAAAAGGACCCAAUGACAUUUCAAGAUCCAGAGAAGAGGGUCCUGUACAGCCGUGUUUGAAAACAUUUGCCAAAACUCAGCAUGGUACUAGGAAAAGGGCUGUCAACAGCUCCUGGUAUAAGGACAGUUCAUGGCUUGAAUAUUCUGUAAAUCAAGAUUCAACUUGUUGUUUCGCCUGUAGGCAUUUUUCUCUGCCCAAUACACCUGAAUCUGCCUUCACAUCACAGUUAUGUUUCUCUGUUCAAUACACCUGAAUCUGCCUUCA